UGGCAUUUUCAUCUAUCUGCCCUAGUGAG
rnacentral:piRNA from 1 species